rnacentral:rRNA from 1 species
UGCACCGAAGCUGCGGCAGCGACGCUUAUGCGUUGUUGGGUAGGGGAGCGUUCUGUAAGCCUGUGAAGGUGUACUGUGAGGUAUGCUGGAGGUAUCAGAAGUGCGAAUGCUGACAUAAGUAACGAUAAAGCGGGUGAAAAGCCCGCUCGCCGGAAGACCAAGGGUUCCUGUCCAACGUUAAUCGGGGCAGGGUGAGUCGACCCCUAAGGCGAGGCCGAAAGGCGUAGUCGAUGGGAAACAGGUUAAUAUUCCUGUACUUGGUGUUACUGCGAAGGGGGGACGGAGAAGGCUAUGUUGGCCGGGCGACGGUUGUCCCGGUUUAAGCGUGUAGGCUGGUUUUCCAGGCAAAUCCGGAAAAUCAAGGCUGAGGCGUGAUGACGAGGCACUACGGUGCUGAAGCAACAAAUGCCCUGCUUCCAGGAAAAGCCUCUAAGCAUCAGGUAACAUCAAAUCGUACCCCAAACCGACACAGGUGGUCAGGUAGAGAAUACCAAGGCGCUUGAGAGAACUCGGGUGAAGGAACUAGGCAAAAUGGUGCCGUAACUUCGGGAGAAGGCACGCUGAUAUGUAGGUGAAGUCCCUCGCGGAUGGAGCUGAAAUCAGUCGAAGAUACCAGCUGGCUGCAACUGUUUAUUAAAAACACAGCACUGUGCAAACACGAAAGUGGACGUAUACGGUGUGACGCCUGCCCGGUGCCGGAAGGUUAAUUGAUGGGGUUAGCGCAAGCGAAGCUCUUGAUCGAAGCCCCGGUAAACGGCGGCCGUAACUAUAACGGUCCUAAGGUAGCGAAAUUCCUUGUCGGGUAAGUUCCGACCUGCACGAAUGGCGUAAUGAUGGCCAGGCUGUCUCCACCCGAGACUCAGUGAAAUUGAACUCGCUGUGAAGAUGCAGUGUACCCGCGGCAAGACGGAAAGACCCCGUGAACCUUUACUAUAGCUUGACACUGAACAUUGAGCCUUGAUGUGUAGGAUAGGUGGGAGGCUUUGAAGUGUGGACGCCAGUCUGCAUGGAGCCGACCUUGAAAUACCACCCUUUAAUGUUUGAUGUUCUAACGUGGACCCGUAAUCCGGGUUGCGGACAGUGUCUGGUGGGUAGUUUGACUGGGGCGGUCUCCUCCUAAAGAGUAACGGAGGAGCACGAAGGUUGGCUAAUCCUGGUCGGACAUCAGGAGGUUAGUGCAAUGGCAUAAGCCAGCUUGACUGCGAGCGUGACGGCGCGAGCAGGUGCGAAAGCAGGUCAUAGUGAUCCGGUGGUUCUGAAUGGAAGGGCCAUCGCUCAACGGAUAAAAGGUACUCCGGGGAUAACAGGCUGAUACCGCCCAAGAGUUCAUAUCGACGGCGGUGUUUGGCACCUCGAUGUCGGCUCAUCACAUCCUGGGGCUGAAGUAGGUCCCAAGGGUAUGGCUGUUCGCCAUUUAAAGUGGUACGCGAGCUGGGUUUAGAACGUCGUGAGACAGUUCGGUCCCUA